rnacentral:rRNA from 1 species
AACGAACGCUGGCGGCGCGUCUUAAGCAUGCAAGUCGAACGGCAAGAGAGGAGCUUGCUUCUCUCCUAGAGUGCGGACUGGUGAGGAACACGUGGGUAAUCUACCCUUAAGAUGGGGAUAGCUGCUAGAAAUAGCAGGUAAUACCGAAUACACUCAAGACUUCAUAAGGAGUUUUGAGGAAAGGAAGCUACGGCUUCGCUUGAGGAUGAGCUUGCGUCCCAUUAGCUUGUUGGUGAGGUAACGGCCCACCAAGGCGACGAUGGGUAUCCGGCCUGAGAGGGUGAACGGACACAUUGGGACUGAGAUACGGCCCAAACUCCUACGGGAGGCAGCAGUCUAAGAAUAUUCCGCAAUGGACGGAAGUCUGACGGAGCGACGCCGCGUGGAUGAAGAAGGCUGAAAAGUUGUAAAAUCCUUUUGUUGAUGAAGAAUAAGGGUGAGAGGGAAUGCUCAUCUGAUGACGGUAGUCGACGAAUAAGCCCGGCUA